AUGAGAGAAACAUGGCUACAUCUCCGGUUUGUCCUAUUUGCAAUUUUGGCGGAGGAUACAUGGCGGCAUUCUUUGCUGGACUGUCGCAUGGCUCGAUGUGUUUGGGCACUGGGUGAUGAGGAAGUUCUGGAGCAUGCGAUUUCAAACCGAUCCGAUGACGCCCGUUUAUGGCUCUUCUCGCUUUUUGAUUCCUUGAACCAGCAAGAUCUUGCAAGAGUACUUGUCACACUUUGGGCUAUUUGGUGGGCUGCGCGGGUAUCUAGGAGAGUCCCGCCAUUUAUCCCAGUCCAGAGUACAUGCAAAUGGCUCCCUCCGGAAGGACUAGCAGCAAAGAUUAAUGCAGAUGGAGGGAUUUCGAGACAUGGCAAUAGGGGAGCAGCAGCAGUGAUAUGCAGAGACAGGGAUGGACACUUUUUGGACGCUUCGGCUGUGAUUUUUGAAGGGAUGAAUGAUCCAGCAUGCUUAGAGUCUAAUGCGUGCAAUGAAGCUCUUGCUCUGGCCCAGGAUCUUUCUUUGAGUAAUGUGGUAGUUGGUUCGGACUGUUUGGAAGUUAUCACCAGCAUUAACAGAGGCGCGUCAUCAACUUAUGCCAUGAUUUUAAAUGAGAUUAAGCACCGUAUGAUGGAUUUUGAGGAAGUCUGUUUUCGUUUUGAACCUCGGGAUUCUAAUUAUGAAGCUCAUAUGUUAGCUAAAGCCGCGUCCACCUUGCAAGUUGGACGGCAUUUGUGGCUAGGGACAGUUUCUGACAUUAUAUGUAUUCCUGAAACUUUGAUUGUUUGA
rnacentral:rRNA from 1 species